rnacentral:rRNA from 1 species
UACGUAGGGGGCGAGCGUUAUCCGGAUUUACUGGGCGUAAAGCGCGUGUAGGUGGUUGCGCAAGUUGGUUGUGAAAUCUCCCGGCUCAACCGGGAAACUGCAGCCAAUACUGCGUGGCUAGAGUGGCAGAGAGGAAAGUGGAAUUCCCGGUGUAGUAGUGAAAUGCGUAGAUAUCGGGAGGAACACCAGCGGCGAAGGCGACUUUCUGGCUGCCAACUGACACUGAGACGCGAAAGCUAGGGGAGCGAACGGG